rnacentral:rRNA from 1 species
GACGAACGCUGGCGGCGUGCUUAACACAUGCAAGUCGAACGGAAAGGCCCUGCUUGCAGGGUACUCGAGUGGCGAACGGGUGAGUAACACGUGGGUGAUCUGCCCUGCACUUCGGGAUAAGCCUGGGAAACUGGGUCUAAUACCGGAUAGGAGCCAUUUUUAGUGUGAUGGUUGGAAAGUUUUUUCGGUGUAGGAUGAGCUCGCGGCCUAUCAGCUUGUUGGUGGGGUAAUGGCCUACCAAGGCGGCGACGGGUAGCCGGCCUGAGAGGGUGGACGGCCAAAAUGGGGCCGGGGAUCGGGCCCGACCUCCACCGGGAGGAAGAAGGGGGGAUUUUUGCACAUGGGGGGAAGGCCUGUUGAAGCGACGCGGGGUGGGGGUUAACGGCUUCCGGUUGGUAACCUCUUUUGGCUGGGGAGGAAGUUUUUGUGACGGUACCUAGAUAAGAAGCACCGGCUAACUACGUG